rnacentral:rRNA from 1 species
GAAGGGGGCUAGCGUUGUUCGGAAUUACUGGGCGUAAAGCGUGUGUAGGUGGUUGUCAUAGUCAGGCGUGAAAGCCUUGAGCUCAACUCAAGAAAUGCGCUUGAUACUGGGCAGCUAGAGGACCGGAGAGGAUAGUGGAAUUCCCAGUGUAGUGGUGAAAUACGUAGAGAUUGGGAAGAACACCAGUGGCGAAGGCGGCUAUCUGGACGGUUUCUGACACUAAGACACGAAAGCGUGGGGAGCAAACAGG